AGUGAACGCUGGCGGUAGGCCUGACACAUGCAAGUCGAACGGCAGCACAGUAAGAGCUUGCUCUUACGGGUGGCGAGUGGCGGACGGGUGAGGAAUACAUCGGAACCUACUUUUUCGUGGGGGAUAACGUAGGGAAACUUACGCUAAUACCGCAUACGACCUACGGGUGAAAGCAGGGGAUCUUCGGACCUUGCGCGAUUGAAUGAGCCGAUGUCGGAUUAGCUAGUUGGCGGGGUAAAGGCCCACCAAGGCGACGAUCCGUAGCUGGUCUGAGAGGAUGAUCAGCCACACUGGAACUGAGACACGGUCCAGACUCCUACGGGAGGCAGCAGUGGGGAAUAUUGGACAAUGGGCGCAAGCCUGAUCCAGCCAUACCGCGUGGGUGAAGAAGGCCUUCGGGUUGUAAAGCCCUUUUGUUGGGAAAGAAAAGCAGCAGGUUAAUACCCCGCUGUUCUGACGGUACCCAAAGAAUAAGCACCGGCUAACUUCGUG
rnacentral:rRNA from 1 species